AUUGAACGCUGGCGGCAGGCCUAACACAUGCAAGUCGAACGAGUGGCGGACGGGUGAGUAAUGUAUGGGAAACUGCCUGAUGGAGGGGGAUAACUACUGGAAACGGUAGCUAAUACCGCAUACCAUCGGAUGAGCCCAGAUGGGAUUAGCUAGUAGGUGGGGUAACGGCUAACCUAGGCGACGAUCCCUAGCUGGUCUGAGAGGAUGACCAGCCACACUGGAACGGAGAAACGGUCCAGACUCCUACGGGAGGCAGCAGUGGGGAAUAUUGCACAAUGGGCGAAAGCCUGAUGCAGCCAUGCGGCGUGUAUGAGGAAGGCCUUCGGGUUGUAAAGUACUUUCAGCGGGGAGGCGUUACCCGCAGAAGAAGCACCGGCUAACUCCGUGCCAGCAGCCGCGGUAAUAC
rnacentral:rRNA from 1 species